rnacentral:rRNA from 1 species
UACGAAGGGUGCAAGCGUUACUCGGAAUUACUGGGCGUAAAGCGCGUGUAGGCGGUUCGGUAAGUCCGCUGUGAAAGUCGGGGGCUCAACCCUCGAAUGCCGGUGGAUACUGUCGAACUAGAGUGCGGAAGAGGCGAGUGGAAUUCCUGGUGUAGCGGUGAAAUGCGCAGAUAUCAGGAGGAACACCAAUUGCGAAGGCAGCUCGCUGGGACGUAACUGACGCUGAGACGCGAAAGCGUGGGGAGCAAACAGG